CAACAGGGAUUGCCUCAGUAACGGCGAGUGAAGCGGCAACAGCUCAAAUUUGAAAUCUGGCUCCUUCGGGGCCCGAGUUGUAAUUUGCAGAGGAUGCGUCGGGUACGGGUGCCUUCCGAGUUCCCUGGAACGGGACGCCAUAGAGGGUGAGAGCCCCGUCUGGUAGGACACCCAGCCCGUGUGACGCUCCCUCGACGAGUCGAGUAGUUUGGGAAUGCUGCUCUAACGGGAGGUAUACUCCUUCCAAGGCUAAAUACCGGCUGGAGACCGAUAGCGCACAAGUAGAGUGAUCGAAAGAUGAAAAGCACUUUGAAAAGAGAGUCAAACAGCACGUGAAAUUGUUAAAAGGGAAGCGCUCGCUACCAGACUUGGGUUCGGCGGUUCAACCGGGGCCACGCCCCGGGGCAUUCCGCCGGCCCAGGCCAGCAUCAGCUUUCCGUCGGGGGUAAAGGCGUCGGGAAUGUGGCUCCCCUUCGGGGGAGUGUUAUAGCCCGUCGUGUCAUACCCUUCGGGGGGCUGAGGUACGCGCUUCUGCAAGGAUGCUGGCGUAAUGGUAGCUAGUGACCCGUCUUGAAACACGGACCAAGGAGUCAACCUUAUGUGCGAGUGCCCGGGCGUAAAACCCCAGCGCGGAAUGAAAGUGAACGUAGGUGAGAGCUUCGGCGCAUCACCGACCGAUCCUGAUGUCCUCGGACGGAUUUGAGUGAGAGCAUAUAGGGUUGGACCCGAAAGAAGAUGAACUAUGCGUGUGUAGGGUGAAGCCAGAGGAAACUCUGGUGGAGGCUCGCAGCGGUUCUGACGUGCAAAUCGAUCGUCAAACAUGCGCAUGGGGGCGAAAGACUA
rnacentral:rRNA from 1 species